GAUGUUGGGUUAAGUCCCGCAACGAGCGCAAUCCCUAUUCUUAGUUGCCAUCAGGUUAUGCUGGGGACUCUAAGAAGACUGCCUGCGCAAGCAGAGAGGAAGGAGGGGACGAUGUCAAGUCAUCAUGGCCCUUACGCCCUGGGCUACACACGUGCUACAAUGGUGCAUACAGAGGGUUGCGAGCUAGUAAUAGUAAGCCAAUCUCAAAAAGUGCAUCUCAGUUCGGAUUGAGGUCUGCAACUCGACCUCAUGAAGUUGGAAUCGCUAGUAAUCGCGUAUCAGCAAUGACGCGGUGAAUACGUUCCCGGGCCUUGUACACACCGCCCGUCAAGCCAUGGAAGCCGG
rnacentral:rRNA from 1 species